rnacentral:rRNA from 1 species
GAUGAACGCUAGCUACAGGCUUAACACAUGCAAGUCGAGGGGCAGCAUGGUCUUAGCUUGCUAAGACUGAUGGCGACCGGCGCACGGGUGAGUAACACGUAUCCAACCUGCCGUCUACUCUUGGACAGCCUUCUGAAAGGAAGAUUAAUACAAGAUGGCAUCAUGAGUCCGCAUGUUCACAUGAUUAAAGGUAUUCCGGUAGACGAUGGGGAUGCGUUCCAUUAGAUAGUAGGCGGGGUAACGGCCCACCUAGUCUUCGAUGGAUAGGGGUUCUGAGAGGAAGGUCCCCCACAUUGGAACUGAGACACGGUCCAAACUCCUACGGGAGGCAGCAGUGAGGAAUAUUGGUCAAUGGGCGAGAGCCUGAACCAGCCAAGUAGCGUGAAGGAUGACUGCCCUAUGGGUUGUAAACUUCUUUUAUAAAGGAAUAAAGUCGGGUAUGCAUACCCGUUUGCAUGUACUUUAUGAAUAAGGAUCGGCUAACUCCGUGCCAGCAGCCGCGGUAAUACGGAGGAUCCGAGCGUUAUCCGGAUUUAUUGGGUUUAAAGGGAGCGUAGAUGGAUGUUUAAGUCAGUUGUGAAAGUUUGCGGCUCAACCGUAAAAUUGCAGUUGAUACUGGAUAUCUUGAGUGCAGUUGAGGCAGGCGGAAUUCGUGGUGUAGCGGUGAAAUGCUUAGAUAUCACGAAGAACUCCGAUUGCGAAGGCAGCCUGCUAAGCUGCAACUGACAUUGAGGCUCGAAAGUGUGGGUAUCAAACAGGAUUAGAUACCCUGGUAGUCCACACGGUAAACGAUGAAUACUCGCUGUUUGCGAUAUACUGCAAGCGGCCAAGCGAAAGCGUUAAGUAUUCCACCUGGGGAGUACGCCGGCAACGGUGAAACUCAAAGGAAUUGACGGGGGCCCGCACAAGCGGAGGAACAUGUGGUUUAAUUCGAUGAUACGCGAGGAACCUUACCCGGGCUUAAAUUGCAGAUGAAUUACGGUGAAAGCCGUAAGCCGCAAGGCAUCUGUGAAGGUGCUGCAUGGUUGUCGUCAGCUCGUGCCGUGAGGUGUCGGCUUAAGUGCCAUAACGAGCGCAACCCUUGUUGUCAGUUACUAACAGGUUCCGCUGAGGACUCUGACAAGACUGCCAUCGUAAGAUGUGAGGAAGGUGGGGAUGACGUCAAAUCAGCACGGCCCUUACGUCCGGGGCUACACACGUGUUACAAUGGGGGGUACAGAGGGCCGCUACCACGCGAGUGGAUGCCAAUCCCCAAAACCUCUCUCAGUUCGGACUGGAGUCUGCAACCCGACUCCACGAAGCUGGAUUCGCUAGUAAUCGCGCAUCAGCCACGGCGCGGUGAAUACGUUCCCGGGCCUUGUACACACCGCCCGUCAAGCCAUGGGAGCCGGGGGUACCUGAAGUGCGUAACCGCGAGGAG